rnacentral:rRNA from 1 species
CCCUAGGUGCAGCAGGCGUGCAUCCUUAAAAGCGCCUCCCCCAUAUCCAUCAUGGUCAGGGAAAAUGAGGCGAUGACCGCAUCAAACGGGCCGCCGAGCUCGCUCAGGUCCGCGUCUUCCCACCGCUUCGGGAUGACGUAAAUAUUUUUUAUCUGAUGUUCCCUGAUCCGUGCCUCCAGCAUCUCCCGCAUAACGGGCGAUGGUUCGAUCACGGUCAGGUCGCAGCCCCGCUGUGCAAGCGGGACGGCAUAGGUGCCCGGCCCGGCGCCGAUGUCGAGAACCCGCGAGCCAUCGGGAAUCUUCAUGGAGGCAAGCCGGGCCUCCGUGAUCGCAUCGUGGCCGGCGUUCUCCUUUCCGUACACAGUAUGGAUCUUCUUCUUGUUUCCCCAGAAUUGGCGGGAGGGC